CCUGGCUGAGGUAGUAGUUUGUGCUGUUUGUCGGGUCGCCACACUGCCCGCUAUGGAGAUGACUGCGCAAACCACUGCCUUGCCAGA
rnacentral:pre_miRNA from 1 species